GACGAACGCUGGCGGCGUGCUUAACACAUGCAAGUCGAACGGAAAGGCCCUGCUUUUGUGGGGUGCUCGAGUGGCGAACGGGUGAGUAACACGUGAGUAACCUGCCCUUGACUUUGGGAUAACUUCAGGAAACUGGGGCUAAUACCGGGGAGGAUCUCCUGCUGCAUGGUGGGGGUUGGAAAGUUUCGGCGGUGGGGGAUGGACUCGCGGCUUAUCAGCUUCUUUGUGGGGUAGUGGCUUACCAGGGCUUUGACGGGUAGCCGGCCUGGGAGGGUGACCGGCCACCUUGGGCCUAAGAUACGGACCAGAAGCGUACGGGCGGCAGCAGUCGGGAGUCUUGCACAAUGGGCGGAAGCGUGUUGCAGAAACGCUGCGUGCGGGAUGACGGCUUUCGGGUUGUAAACCGAUUUCGACUGUGACGAAGCGUGAGUGACGGUAAUGGGUAAAGAAGCACCGGCUAACUACGUG
rnacentral:rRNA from 1 species